GCUAGGUUGAAAUACUGGAGACCAUUUUCUAAUAUGCUAUGAAUGAGAAAUACUCCUGAUGAAAUAAGACUAUUGUACUUACUAUACUAGAUUUGCCUUCAGACUUGGAGAAUAGAUUGCUGCUAAACAUAGUGAAGGUCAGAACUGAAAUGAGAGUAUUUUGUUUUGUAUAGGUUGAUACCAGCUCCUAGAAGUGUCACUUAAUUGGCCACUGUUGAUGGUAUGGAUAAUGAAUCAAUGGCAUUGCUACAACAGUGGAGAGCAGCAGGUCCAUUACAUGGUGGAUCCCGCAAAAGUCCUUCUGUAUAAAACAAGCAAAUGAAAUGCAGACUUCUGCUGUUGCACCAUAUGGGUACCCUUAUAAUGUAACAGAAAAUAUUUUGACAGUCACAGAUUACUUCCAUUGGAAAAGCAGCGCUUGAUCCAAGCUAAGACUUUAGCUCAGAACUAAACUCCUCUAGAUAGGAAGAAACUAAGCCAAAUGUAAAGGACAGCAGCAAAAUUCAGUAAAUUACACAAGUUCUCGGGUUGGCUGUUGAUGUUCUCUGCCCCGAGAUGCACAGGAAGUCUCUGCUUCAGCCUGCGCAACUGAAGAAUGAGUCUGGACUCUUCAUUUUUCAGUCUUGAGCAUCCAGUGUCCACUGCUGCUCCCUCUCAGAGCACUGCUUCAGGUCUUGGACUACAGUCCUUUCAGGCGCUCUCCUGUCAUUGUCUGCUGAAAGAAAUGCCAGUGAUCAGAAGGAAAGAUGGUCACCAGGUACUGUAGAAUGUGUUUUGGGGAGUCAGCUGACAACAACAAAUUCCUCUGUUUUUC